GCAAGAAAACCUUGUAUUGGUUACACCUACCUGGGGUGUCAGUCCAGAUGUGAUGAGGUCAACUUGCGGAGAUGUCGCAUUGGCCAUACACGAUACACUUAUGAAGACUUAAUAAAAGGCGAGGACCCUCC